rnacentral:lncRNA from 1 species
AGGGAAGAGAGGGGAUGUUUUCAGGCGGCCUCCAAGGCUGAUGACUCUCCUGCUCUCUAGGCGGUGGCUCCAAGGAAGGAGGCACAUCCCAGGCCAAGAGAGCAGGCGUGGCUGGAACAGAGGAUCCUCACUCAGCAGUGCCUUCAGCAGAGAGGCUGGGGCAUUGCCAGGUGGAGUAAUUUAGCAUCCCGGCCAGGAGGGGGCGCCUGUCCUUCUCCAAAUGCUGCGUUCCGAUCAUCUUGCUCAGCCCUCGGUGGCCAGCAGGUGGCGACGAAACCUGCCCUUGCGGCCUCUUGCCAAGCGCAGGCAGGCGCAGCAUCCCUGCGGUCUUCCCUGCGACCGAAGGCUGUGUUUUUCUCCGGACAGACUGAGGACGUGCCUGUGGGGCUUUGGGACACGGGCCUGGUGGGGCCCCUUGUUCAGAAGAGAAGACCGCCAUCUGAGCCCCAGUUGGAGGAAUGCCUGUUUUCAUUGGCGGCAUCCAGAGUGUCUGCUUGGGGCGUUCCCGCUGAGGCGCUGGUAUCUGCCAGGCGGAGCAGGUAAAGGACCCGACUGUUGCCCCUCACGUUCCAACGGCGCCUCGCAUUUGACCCCUGCCCUGGAAGCUCCACAUGCCUGGGCCGCGGGGUGGCCAAGAAAAGGGGAACCCAUAAAAUAGGGUGUCUGCUUCCCUUCCUCCUCAAGGGCACUGUCCCCUUCUUCACGGGUGCAGAAGAGCUUUCCUAACACCCGCGGCUUAUCACCACAGGGGUAGAAUGUCAAAGCAGUUGAAAAGUACUGUACAUGUAAUGGGGCGUCGUUUUCAAACACAUUCGUUUUAAGUCUCAUCUUUGAAGUCUGUCCAAAUCUGAACUGACAAGAAAUUACUUUCCUGGAUUUCAUGGAAAUUAUCUCUAAUAUAUUUAAUAAUCACCUCUUACUUGAGCUUGUAUCCAAAUUCAAAUGUCGCCAUGCAUGUUGGCUUCUCAUAACACAGUAACCGUCUUAAGUAUUUGUAAAUAUUGGGUCAUUGAAAUGUCUUUUGCAGGAUUGGCCUGUGACUAGCAGUGUUAAAAAUAAUACUAGCCAGGCCACUACCAAAUUUUUUAUAAGAAUGUAAUAAAAAUACUGUGAGUCAUUGUAGGAGAUACA